CAGAAAAUUUUAUUUUUAUUUACAAUAAAAAUUUAGUUAUUAAUAAUAACUUUUUUGA
rnacentral:tRNA from 1 species